AACGCACAUUGCGCCCGCUGGUAUUCCAGCGGGCAUGCCCGUUCGAGCGUCAUUUCAAUUCCUUCCCAGGAAGGAGCCGCUGUCUCCACAGAGGUUCCUGCCAGGGGCGUUGGCACCGGGCGCCGGCCGUUAAAGCUGCCUUCGCGCAACACCCAAGGUUGACCUCGGAUCAGGUAGGAAGACCCGCUGAACUUAA
rnacentral:misc_RNA from 1 species